AGGACUUAAGGAAGAAGAUGUGAGACCCUGGGAAGUUACACAAAACAGGAAGAUCUACCCUGGGGGCAGCAUUCUGGUGCUGGGGAAUAGCACAGACCAGCUAACAGUGACCUCAUCAGCUACAGAAAAAGGCAGCAUACCGAAGACAAGAUGGGAGAAACCAGGAAUCAGAGGCUGAUUUGUGUGUGAUGAAAAGAAUGUCAACAACAAGAACAACAACAACAACAAAAGAGAGGAAGGGCGAAGAAUAGAAAUACCUGCAGAAGUGAAAAAACAACUCAUCUGAAGGGGGACAGGUUAUCAAGCUCAUGAACUUAUAGGAGGAGCUGGAGCCCUUUGUCAUAGAGCUGAAUGGACAUCUGGCCGAGCACUCGGAGUAACUGAAGGAGGACAUUCAGCAGGAGUUGGGGAGCUGCCGGCCUGAGUGCUAUAUCCUGCACCAACAAGGUGAACCAGCAGAUCAGUGUCAAAAGGAUGGAAUAGACAUGAAGUGCCCAUCAGUGAAUAAAGCUCCCUCUUUCUUGUGACAAAAAGCAAGCAAGCAAGCAAGCAAGAAGCUCCCAACUACUGUGAAUAAAUUGAGACAAAGAAAAUGUU